AUGUCACCGGUAACGCAGGACCUGGCAACGCGGACCCCCCUAAUGAGGCGCAAUAGCUCUGGCCCGCUCUAUCGGUGCGGCGGUGCAAGUCCUUCGGCGUUCUUCCUCGGCACCGGCGAGCUGUGGCAUCGCCGUUUGGGGCACCCUGGGCGUGCCUCCCUUUCCCAUUUAGCACAACACUUUCUUCCCGAUUGUAAUAAACUUCCCUCCCCCUCUCAUUCAUGUGAGGCUUGCCAAUUAGGGAAGCAGCCACGGCUGCCUUUUUCACAUUCUAGCACUGUUACAACUUUCCCGUUUCAAAUAAUUCACUGUGACCUUUGGACCUCACCGGUGGCUAGUUGUUCCGGCUACAAAUAUUAUUUGAUCAUAAUGGAUGAUUUUUCUCAUUAU
rnacentral:rRNA from 1 species